AAACUAACAAGGAUUCCCCUAGUAGCGGCGAGCGAAGCGGGAAGAGCUCAAAUUUAUAAUCUGGCACCUUCGGUGUCCGAGUUGUAAUCUCUAGAAGUGUUUUCCGCGUUGGACCGCACACAAGUCUGUUGGAAUACAGCGGCAUAGUGGUGAAACCCCCGUAUAUGGUGCGGACGCCCAGCGCUUUGUGAUACACUUUCAAUGAGUCGAGUUGUUUGGGAAUGCAGCUCAAAUUGGGUGGUAAAUUCCAUCUAAAGCUAAAUAUUGGCGAGAGACCGAUAGCGAACAAGUACCGUGAGGGAAAGAUGAAAAGCACUUUGGAAAGAGAGUUAACAGUACGUGAAAUUGUUGGAAGGGAAACGCUUGAAGUCAGACUUGCUUGCCGGAGCUUGCUUCGGUUUGCAGGCCAGCAUCAGUUUUCCGGGGUGGAUAAUGACGGUUUGAAGGUAGCAGUCUCGGCUGUGUUAUAGCUUUCCGUUGGAUACAUCCUGGGGGACUGAGGAACGCAGCGUGCUUUUUGCGAAAGACUCGUCUUUUUCACGCUUAGGAUGCUGGUGGAAUGGCUUUAAACGACCCGUCUUG
rnacentral:rRNA from 1 species